rnacentral:lncRNA from 1 species
ACAUCAGAGGUGGUUCUUGGGUACCAUGGCAAAGGGCCAUGCCAGCAUCUGCUCCUGCUGAUCCAGGGUUUCUUGAGUUGCAUCUUUCAAGUGACUCCAACCAGAUGUCCAGUGGGAAUGUCUUUGCAGCUGCUCAUGGUAGCUCCAAGGUCAAUGGUACUCCCAGACACAGCAGCACAGCACUCCGGGGAGAGGCUGGGUAGAAACAGAGGAAGAGAGGGAGGUGUCCCUUGUAGUUUUGAGUCCCUUCUCUUCCUCAAAUCAGUGUCAGGAGUCAACAGCCCCACACAGGAAGCAUGAGACAGUGUGGCGCUGGGACAUGACAGGAGGCAAUGAGCACUUUCAGAAGAGCUCAUGUUGUGAAUGCUGGGAUCCCACCAGUCUAGGCGAUCCUGGUGCCUGUCCAGAUGCAGGUGCCUGUCGACACAAGUUAAAUAGCCCAGAGUUCUGCAGUUGCUCCUAGAAGAUGUCAAAAAAAAUACCUUCAUUGUUGAACCCCCUCUUCACCAUGCAUUUGCCUUCCAGUUUGUUUCUAAUGUGCCCUCCAUGGAGAGGGUAGAGAAGCACAGGCAAGUAGAGCUCUGUACAUUUGAGGACAACCCGCUCUAUACAAGCUGGUGAUGUGCACUAAAGAGAAAGGAUACCAAUAGGAUUAGAGUCUAGACCUGCACUCUGUGGAUGACACCUCUCGAAUCAGCUGCUGCAGAGCAAUUUUCCCCUUUGUGGGUGCUGAAGAUGUCUGGGUACUUGCUGCAAUGAGAGAGGCAGUAGAAUUCAUUGCAUGCCCCUGCUUUGUGAACACUCAAGAUUGCUGCUGUUUCAUUGCUAAUACACUACAUCUACGGGGAGCUCCCUGUCAUCACUACAGCCUUUGAGAACUCACUGCUGGUCCAGUGUCGGGAAUGAAUGGCGAGACAAAUGAGAAUCUAAGUACUUAGUGAGACCCAGCAUUGAAGGCUGAGAAGCAAGGGCCUGGCGGUUGGUAACAAGCUGAUUUCUGAAAGUUCAACCUGGGGUGUGUAAGAGGGGCUAAAAAUAAACCAGUUGUGAAGCAUCAGGUCCCUUCUGCAUCACCUUUUGAGGACUCAACUGUCCUCUUUGCAAAAGCUGGGAAUUCACAAGCAUCACAAGAGACCUUUUAAGAUAGAGUGGGCAAGAGCCAUUCCCCUGGGAUUCAGCAUUUGUUCAUUUAAUAAAUAUUUUCCAUCUAGUCUGUGUCACUUUACUAACCUUGUGGAAUGGAAAGAAAACACAACCCCAGCCCUUACUUUUGGAAUUUACUCUAAAGCCUAAUUAAUUAGGGAGAGUGUUGUGAGCAUUUAAACAACUAAGAUAAAUGGUAAUGAAAAUGAUAAUACAAAACUCGUCAUGGCUGACAAUAGAGGUUCAAGCCUAUACUUAUACAAGUGAGAGAGUCAAGAAGAUCACAGCUCCAAGACCACCUUGGUCUUCAUCCUGUGUUUGAGACCAAUUAGGGGGGUAUGCAAUGAGACCCUGUGUCAACAAAGCAAAACAAAACAAUGGAAUGACAGGAGACAAUAUGAGAUUAAGCUUGUGAAGAAUGGGGUUUAGGAAGCCCCUUACUGUUUAGAACCAUCACAUCCCUCAUCCCUUUAACACAAGAGGUCAUAAUCCUUUAACACAGCCUGCUUAACUGGCCAAAUGGACCACUUCACCAAACUGGUCAAUCAGGCUCUUUCCUGGAAGUUUAAAAUUGAACGACUUUGGUUUGGAUGAUUUCCUUUGUAAAAGAGAUGAGAACAUCUGCAACAGUCAUUUUCAACAAUGACCAAGUAAAGACUGUUAGUUGCAGAGAAAAAAAAGGAUGAGCCAAGUCAGUGUGAUGAAAUGGAGACAAGUGGAGCCGAGAAGGCACUCUAGCUCCGCAGUGGACUCUCUUCCUUGUUGGGGUCUCUCUGCUGCUCAGUUUUCUCCCUCCUGGAGGUCAUGAGACACUUAUAUCUGUAAUAGUUCACUUGGCAUCUCACAGGCUUUUAUUCCUUAAAAUUCUGGGGAGUCUGGAUCCAUGUUUGGGAUGCUUUCCUAAGCCCCACUUCCCGGCAUAUGCACAUACUACCACCAAAGAGUUUUGGUCCUUCUAAAUGUUCUCACUCUCCUCUUUCAGUCUCCAGAGAUCCUUCAAGUAAUUUAUCUUACAUAAACAGUUUGUAAAAUAGGCAUUCUCAUCUUCAUUUCAUAGAUAAAUUUAACUUGCCAAGCGAUUAUUUUACCCAACUUCAUGUAUCUACUAAUAGCAGAGGUGUGAUAGGAACUACUGAGGCAGUGUCACUCCUAAAUGCUUUCUCCUAACCACCAAGUGACCCCCCUAUCUCUUUUGCUGUGGCCUAGCACAAGAAGCAUUUCACAGAAUGAUCUGCUUCCGGGGGAGGUAGAGACAGGAGGAUCACUGAAAGGUGUUGGCCAUCUUGUUUUGCCCAUGGCUACACCCAGCCUGCCACCAACUUCUCUAGGAAUAUUUCUUGACUCUUCCUCUUCAUUCUACAUGGAUAAGGAAGCCAUGUGCUGUAAGUGAUAAGAGCACAAGCUAUAAUGACCCCAAAUCCCCAAGUCAUCACAUGGUAGAAAAACUAUGCAGGAGUCCCUGCCCAUCAAAGAGUAAAUGGGAAAGCAACAUUGUUUAGGUUCAGCCAUUGUAGUUUCAGCUUAUUAGAGAAGAUACCAAUUUUCCUGCAUUGAUCUAACAGCAGUGUUCCAAACCUUGGAUAUGCAGUGGUGGGAGCCUAGGAUACUUGGGAUGCAUGCAAAGAGCAUUUUUAUAGCAGUUUGGUCCAUGCUUAUAGAGAUGCAAUUUGUUUUAUUAAUGACAGAGAUUACUCUAGAGAUAUACUCAGCCCAGUGCCUCUGUGGCUACUAAGGGAAUAUUCCCACUAGGGUCUUUUCCAUCAUCCAUAGAGAAGAUUCUUUCUGUGGUUUCAUUGAUAGCAACUAACAACGUUCUGUCUAUCUCUUGGGAUAUACUUUGUUCAUUUCCACCAAUUCAAAUGAGAAAUCACUGUUGCCAAUUUGACAAACUUCAAGUUUGGGAAAAUAAAGGAAAUCUUGCCAAAGU